rnacentral:rRNA from 1 species
CCUACGGGAGGCAGCAGUGAGGAAUAUUGGUCAAUGGCCGGAAGGCUGAACCAGCCAAGCCGCGUGAAGGACGAAGGUGCCAAGCAUUGUAAACUUCUUUUGUCAAGGGACAAAAUCAGGCUCGAGAGCCUGACCGAGGGUACUUGAAGAAAAAGCAUCGGCUAACUCCGUGCCAGCAGCCGCGGUAAUACGGAGGAUGCGAGCGUUAUCCGGAUUUAUGGGGUUUAAAGGGUGCGUAGGCGGGCUGUUAAGUCAGCGGUAAAAGCCCGGGGCUCAACCCCGGCGCGCCGUUGAAACUGGCUGUCUUGAGAGGGCGAGAGGUAUGCGGAAUGCGCGGUGUAGCGGUGAAAUGCUUAGAUAUUGCGCAGAACUCCGAUUGCGAAGGCAGCAUACCGGCGGCGAACUGACGCUGAGGCACGAAAGCGUGGGUAUCGAACAGGAUUAGAUACCCGAGUAGUC